AACGAACGCUGGCGGCAUGCCUAACACAUGCAAGUCGAACGAGACCUUCGGGUCUAGUGGCGCACGGGUGCGUAACGCGUGGGAACCUGCCCUUAGGUUCGGAAUAACUCCCCGAAAGGGGUGCUAAUACCGGCUAAUGUCUUCGGACCAAAGAUUUAUCGCCGUUGGAUGGGCCCGCGCUGGAUUAGCUAGUUGGUAGGGUAAAAGCCUACCAAGGCGACGAUCCAUAGCUGGUCUGAGAGGAUGAUCAGCCACACUGGGACUGAGACACGGCCCAGACUCCUACGGGAGGCAGCAGUGGGUAAUAUUGGACAAUGGGCGAAAGCCUGAUCCAGCAAUGCCGCGUGAGUGAUGAAGGCCUUAGGGUUGUAAAGCUCUUUUACCCGGGAGGAUAAUGACAGUACCGGGAGAAUAAGCUCCGGCUAACUCCGUG
rnacentral:rRNA from 1 species